AUGUAUAUGUAGAGAUCUUGAUA
rnacentral:snRNA from 1 species